rnacentral:rRNA from 1 species
ACUCAAAUGAAUUGACGGGGGCUCACACAAGCGGUGGAGCAUGUGGUUCAAUUCGAAGCAACGCGCAGAACCUUACCUGGGCUUGACAUGCCUGGAUUAUCCCCAUGAAAGUGGGGUAGGCCCUUCGGGGUACAACAGGCACAGGUGCUGCAUGGCUGUCGUCAGCUCGUGUCGUGAGAUGUCGGGUUAAGUCCCAUAACGAGCGAAACCUUUGCCCUUAGUUACCAGCGGGUUAUGCCGGGGACUCUAAGGGGACUGCCGGUGUCAAACCGGAGGAAGGUGGAGAUGACGUCAAGUCCUCAUGGCCUUUAUGCCCAGGGCCACACACGUGCUACAAUGGCGUGGACAAAGGGAACCUAGAACGCAAGUUCAUGGAAAUCUCACAAACCACGCCCCAGUUCAGAUCGGAGGCUGCAACCCGCCUCCGUGAAGUUGGAAUCGCUAGUAAUCGCGGAUCAGCUACGCCGCGGUGAAUGUGUUCCUGAGCCUUGCACACACCGCCCGU